AUUUAUAUAGUUAAAAUAACGUAUCAUUUUCAGUGAUAAAUUAAGAGUUGUCUUUAUAAAUA
rnacentral:tRNA from 1 species